UACAGAGGUCUCAAGCGUUGUUCGGAUUCAUUGGGCGUAAAGGGCGCGUAGGCUGCGGGGCAAGUCGGGUGUGAAAUCUCAGAGCUCAACUCUGAAACUGCACUCGAUACUGCUUUGCUCGAGGACUGGAGAGGAGAUUGGAAUUCACGGUGUAGCAGUGAAAUGCGUAGAUAUCGGGAGGAACACCAGUGGCGAAGGCGGCGAUCUGGGAAGAUACUGACGCUGAGGUGCGAAAGCGUGGGGAGCAAACAGG
rnacentral:rRNA from 1 species